UAGCCACGGUAAUACCAGCUCCUCGAGUAGUCAAGACGAUUAUUGGGCCUAAAGCGUCCGUAGCCGGCCUAGUAAGUCUCUGGUUAAAUCUAACGGCUCAACCGUUAGGCUGCUAGAGAUACUGCCAGACUCGGAGGCGGGAUAGGUCGAGGGUACUCUCAGGGUAGGGUGGAAAUCCUAUAAUCCGGAGGGGACCGACCAGUGGCGAAGGC
rnacentral:rRNA from 1 species